rnacentral:sRNA from 1 species
GCGGCCCGGGAUCGCCCCCAGGCAGCGCAGGUGCGCCCCCUGGGGCGUUCGUG